ensembl:lncRNA
CCGCCGCCGCGCAAGACCCUGCUCCGCGUACCGCCGCCGCGCAAGACCCUGCUCCGCGUUCCGCCGCCCCGCAAGACCCUGCUCCGCGUAACGCCGCCCCGCAAGACCCUGCUCCGCGUACCGCCGCCGCGCAAGACCCUGCUCCGCGUACCGCCGCCGCGCAAGACCCUGCUCCGCGUACCGCCGCCGCGCAAGACCCUGCCCCGCGCACCGCCGGCACGCAAGACCCUGCUCCGCAUACCGCCGCCGCGCAAGACCCUGCUCCGCGUUCCGCCGCCCCGCAAGACCCUGCUCCGCGGACCGCCGCCGCGCAAGACCCUGCUCCGCGUUCCGCCGCCCCGCAAGACCCUGCUCCGCGUACCGCCGCCGCGCAAGACCCUGCUCCGCGUUCCGCCGCCCCGCAAGACCCUGCUCCGCGUACCGCCGCCGCGCAAGACCCUGCUCCGCGUUCCGCCGCCCCGCAAGACCCUGCUCCGCGUACCGCCGCCCCGCAAGACCCUGCUCCGCGUACCGCCGCCGCGCAAGACCCUGCUCCGCGUACCGCCGCCGCGCAAGACCCUGCUCCGCGUACCGCCGCCGCGCAAGACCCUGUCCCGCGCACCGCCGGCACGCAAGACCCUGCUCCGCAUACCGCCGCCGCGCAAGACCCUGCUCCGCGUUCCGCCGCCCCGCAAGACCCUGCUCCGCGUAGCGCCGCCGCGCAAGACCCUGCCCCGCGCACCGCCGGCACGCAAGACCCUGCUCCGCAUACCGCCGCCGCGCAAGACCCUGCUCCACGUUCCGCCGGCACGCAAGACCCUGCUCCGCAUACCGCCGCCGCGCAAGACCCUGCUCCGCGUUCCGCCGCCCCGCAAGACCCUGCUCCGCGUACCGCCGCCGCGCAAGACCCUGCUCCGCGUACCGCCGCCGCGCAAGACCCUGCUCCGCGUAGCGCCGCCCAGCAAGACCCUGCUCCGCGUACCGCCGCCCAGCAAGACCCUGAUCCACGGCCUAGAGUACAAUGCGUUUAUUGUUAACAGCCUGGAAGAUUUAUAACGCAAGACUUUACAGUUCCACUGGUAACCAAGUGGCUUUAUUCAUCAAUAUCCAACAACAUGGAGGAUACAACACUGAAAUCUUUGUGGCAGAACAAACAAAUCCCUUGACUUAGAGAAUAUGCUGAGUAAUGAUGAGUAGUGGCUUGGGGAGCGAAUCCCAGGUUGUUGUGAAACAUUGUUGUUGUGAGACAGAAAUGAGCUUAAUGAGAGGUCUGCAGAGCAAGGCAAAGUUAAAACUAGUAAAAAAGGGAGAGUGGAAGACAUAUGUUUGAUGAAGAAACAACUGAAACAAGAUUUGGGUUCAAUGGAGUUAGCUAAUACAAUACUCUCUGCUGUAGUUUGGAUUCUAACUUCGUGUUGUGCGAGAUUCCAUCUUUGUUUCUCACAAUUUAGGAGUCCUGAAUCACUAGGAGGGAUGGGUGACAGACCCUCCCAUAUACUUCAGAGAGUCCAAGGAAAGGUGAGUGACAGACUGUGACAUACAUCAGAGAGUGCAAGGAGAGACUGCCUUGGGUUCAGAGUAAGAUUAUUGGACACUGCUGGUUCCUGAUUCACCACAGCCAAGUAGAGGUGGUUGACAGACUAUUUCACAUACAACAGGGUGUAUAAGUAGACUUGGGUAACAGACUCUGCCACAUAAAACAGAGAGUCCAAGGAGUGGUGGGUGACAGACCCUCCUACAUACAACAGAGAGUCCAAGGAGGGAUGGGUGACAGACCCUCCCACAUACAACAGAGUCCAAGGAGGGAUGGGUGACAGACCCUCCCACAUACAACAGAGAGUCCAAGGAGGGAUGGGUGACAGACCCUCCUACAUACAACAGAGAGUCCAAGGAGGGAUGGGUGACAGACCCUCCCACAUACAACAGAGAGUCCAAGGAGGGAUGGGUGACAGACCCUCCCACAUACAACAGAGUCCAAGGAGGGAUGGGUGACAGACCCUCCCACAUACAACAGAGAGUCCAAGGAGGGAUGGGUGACAGACCCUCCCACAUACAACAGAGAGUCCAAGGAGGGAUGGGUGACAGACCCUCUUACAUAUAACAGAGAGUCCAAGGAGGGAUGGGUGACGGACCCUCCCACAUACAACAGAGAGUCCAAGGAGGGAUGGGUGACAGACCCUCCCACAUACAACAGAGUGUCUUAGGGGAGGUGGGUGACAGACCCUGCCACAUAUAAAAGAGAGUGGCUUUAUUCAUCAAUAUACAACAACAUGGAGGAUACAACAUGGAAAUUCAUUGUGACAUUAAACCCUCUGCCCUAGUCCCUGCCACCGCCCUUCUUGUUGCUCCACAGCCAGCCCCUGCUCCGCGUACUGCCGCGGCGCGAGACCCUGCUCCGCGUAACGCCGCCGCGCGGUAUCCAAGUGGCUUUAUUCAUCAAUAUACAACAACUUGGAGGAUACAACACUGAAAUCUUUCUGACAGAUCAAAGAAUCCUUGACUUAGAGAAUAUGCUGAGUAAUGAUGAGUAGUGGCUUGGGGAGCGAAUCCCAGGUUGUUGUGAAACAUUGAUGGAAGAGACAGAAAUGAGCUUAAUGAGAGGUCUGCAGAGCAAGGCAAAGUUAAAAAAAGUAAACAAGGGAGAGAGGAAGACAUAUAUGUUUGAUUAAGAAACAACUGAAACAAGAUUGGGGUUCAAUGGAGUUAGCUAAUACAAUACUCUCUGCUGUAGUUUGGAUUCUAACUUUGUGUUGUGCGAGAUUCCAUCUUUCUCACAUUUUAGGAGUCCUGAAUCACUAGGAGGGAUGGGUGACAGACCCUCCCAUAUACUUCAGAGAGUCCAAGGAGAGGUGAGUGACAGACUGUGACAUACAUCAGAGAGUGCAAGGAGAGACUGCCUUGGGUUCAGAGUAAGAUUAUUGGACACUGCUGGUUCCUGAUUCACCACAGCCAAGUAGAGGUGGUUGACAGACUAUUUCACAUACAACAGGGUGUAUAAGUAGACUUGGGUAACAGACUCUGCCACAUAAAACAGAGAGUCCAAGGUGGGGUGGGUGACAGACUAUGACACAUACAACAGAGUCCAAGGAGGGAUGGGUGACAGACCCUCCCUCAUACAACACAGAGUCUUAGGGGAUGUUGGUGACAGACUAUGACACAUACAACAGAGAGUGGCUUUAUUCAUCAAUAUACAACAACAUGGAGGAUACAACACCAAAUUUCAUUGUGACAUAAAACCCUUCGUGGUAUGUGUCCUCUUAUUUGGCCUUGCGCCGCAUACAACAGAGAAUCCAAGGAGGGGUGGGUGACAAACCCUGCCACAUACAAAAGAGCAGUGGGGAUUUCUUUAAGAAUGCAAGGGAAGCUCGGCUUCCCCUAUAAUGCCAACAAAAAAAUCGUUAAAUAUGUAGUAUUGUGUAAAAAUUUUAUUGACUAAAAAUGCGUUAAAACAUGUUCAUCUCUAAAACUAGUUAGUUCAGAAUAAGCUACAGGUAGGCUGACUCGAUUUUCUUCUCAUACAAUCCCGCAGCGUCACAGUGCAUUUCCCUGUUGAUGCCGAGCGUCAAUUGACUUCAAUGGGGCUUCUUAAAACUCGCCCACGGACUCUCAUCGUCUCUGGGGGUGAAUUAUGAGUGGGCUGGCCCUGAUUCCAGGCUUCCGCAUGAUUGGAGGAUCUGACGAUCUGUCAAACUGCAUUCCUUUUGACUGACAGCGGUCUACUAUAAGGUGUCACUGAAGCUGUUUAGCGCUCAGUCCCACCGCGGAUUUCUCAAGCGUAUUCGAAAGACGUCUGCAAUAUUUAUUCAUAUUUGUUUGGCGAAAUUGCUAGCUGAUUUGCAUCAUACAUUUCACACAAUUAUCUGCUGCACCACGUGAUCCUUGUUUCAGUUUUACAAAGUUUUUUUUUUUUAUCAGUCAUUCAUAUUCAAUAGUAGGCUAGGCUAGCGUUGUACGCGGGUGAAACUGCGCACGAUGGCAGACAGUGCUAAUAUUGUCCUGAUUUUAGCGAGGCCAUUUGGAAGUCUUCCUUACGAGGAACAUUUUUUAAUUAAACAGCAGGUAAGAUCAACUCCUAAGAUUGAUCUUUUCAGCUCUCCUGGUAUGACAAAGUUAUUUGGCUGACUGGAAGUGCUGUGACAAAUAAAAUGUACUGCUGGCCAAAAAUAAAUUGGUAACCCUACGACACAUUGAAAAUGUGUACACACACACACGUAGUGUUAUCACGUUUUGGGGGGACUUUCCAUAGACACAAUGAUUUUUGUACUGUACAAACUGUAUAUUCCUAUCUCUUACACUGACCCUACCCAUCACAGAAAACCUGCAUUUUUACAUUUUCUAAUAACAUCACUUAGUAUGAUUUUUAAGCUGUUUUCCUCAUGGGGACUCAAACAUUUCCCCACACGAAGAAGGAUUUCAGAUAUUGCCAUCCUUGUGGGAACAUAUUGUCCCCAUAUUGUAGGGUUUACCAGGCCACACACAUACACACACUGGCUCUAUAGCCAUCUAGUGGUUAAACAGAAUUUUAAACAGAAUUUCCCCCAAAGAAUUGCUAAAAUCUUACUUUAAACCUUAUAAAAUUAUCCAUGGUAUCCCUAGGAAUGAAAGUUAGAAAUCUGGGUCUUUUAUAAAGUGAAUUCUACGUAAAAUGCAGAUUUUCUUGUAAAAAGCCUAUUGAAAUAAAUAUUUAUGUAUUUAUAGACAUUUUAAAGAUAUCAGAAAUCCUCCAAAAACUGCACAAAUAUUGAGUUAAAACAUGAAUAAACAGAUUCAAAUUAUAUUUGUUAAAAAAAAAAAGUUGUUCUGUUACAAAAUGUAAUGUUAUUGUCUGGGGUCCAAAAGACCCCAAAGACCCCGAGUUUCACUACAAGUGAAGCCCAUCAGAGGGUUAUAAUGUAAGCCGAAAAUGAGCUCCUCUUUGAAAGACCAGCAGCCGCCACUUUUGGUAUGUGACUUUUCAUUCCAAAUGUUUUCAGCUGUGAAAGCAAACAAGGACUGUUUGAUAAAGUGGUUAACUUGAUGUUCAAACAAGAGGGACUAUCUGAAAGAGAGAAAAGCGGAAAAACAUCUACAAGACUAUCAGGAGUAUGGUGAUCCGGUACGCUGACACUAUACAGCAAAAGCUUUCGCGUUCGUUGUUGCUUGCGCUGAUGGAUUUAGAGGACAUUGAAGGUGGAGACGACUUUGAGUCUAUGGCGAGUGUGGACAAGGCUGGUCUCAAACAUAUUCCAGUGGUUACGCAGGACUCUGAAAAACAACCUCGUCUAAUACGACAGCAGCAGGUCCACGAUCGGAACAUAUGGCAAGCCGUUUUAACAUGUAUUCGCUGGACUGGAUAUUUCUUACAGAUAUCUGCAACAUAAUUUCGCCUAGUCAGACCUCCAAUUCAAGAUAUCUAUAACGUCAUUAUGACUAGUUAACGACAAUUGAAGAUAUCUGUAAUUCAGUUUUGACUAGUCAGUUUUGAAUGACUAUUGCCAUUCAUGUCUAUGAGGUUUCUCUUUACAGAUAUCUUUAAAUGAAGUUGCAGAUAUCCGAAAUGUCUAUUGUUGAUAUAUUCAAUCCAAUUAUGACUAUAGUAAUUACAGUUCCAGAUAUCUAUAAUUUAAUUCUGACUAGUCACGAUUCCAGUUCAAGAUAUCUUAAAUCCCCUUAAAUUUAAGAUAUAUAGAUCAUUCUUUUGCGAUAUCUUAAAUAAUGUUUUAAUUAGUCAUAAAUGAAUUUUGAUUGGAGAUAUCUCAAAUUGGAGAUAUAUUUAACUUUCAUUCUGCCAAGUCAAAAUGUAAUUACUGUGUUACAUGUGGGAGUCAGGAGCGGGAGUAAGCUUGCUUGUAUUCAAACAUAUGUAACUACUCUUCCACCGUAUGGCAAGCAUUAACCGCCUUGUCAGACCUGCGUGAGGCCGAAGUUCUAGUUUUAGAUAAAAUAUGUAUGGCUUCAGCCAGUGCACGACAGGCGCUUUUAGCAGGAAAUACAGAAGAUUUACUUUCUUUCAAAAGUCGAUUAAAAAAAAAAACUCUUGUUCACCUCUAAAUCUCAGAUGAUAAGCUCGUUUUAUUUCAUUACAUUUUUUAACUAUCCACAACUGAAACUGCCAUUGCUGCUAACACCGAAAAGCGUUGCUGGACCAAUAUGAUGAUGCCUCGCAUGAGAAACGUCAUGCAAAACAAUUCGAAAUAAGGACAUUUGAGAUAUCUGCAACUAUAAUUUUGACUAGUCCAAACAAAAUUCUGCAAUUUCCAUUUGGGAUGUAUGAAGGUCGAGUGUCGUUUUCAGUGAGGUCACUUCUGAUAUUUGUAAUUCAGUUUUGACUUGUCAAAAUUGACUUACAGACAUCUUUAACUGGUGUUUUGACUAGUCAGAAGAACGUUACAUAUAUCUUGAAUCAAAAUUCUGACUAGUCACAAUGUAAUUACGUCUAGUCAGUAUUACGGUGUUAAUAUCUGUCAUGUUAAUUUCAUAUAGUCAAGUCUAGCGAAUACAUUACGUUAAAAUGGCUUGCUAUUGGAACAAACACUCGUUAUCCCGACAACCGGGAAAGAUUGAGCUGUGGGUGGAUAAAUGAGCCGUGUUUGGAUAUAUGAGCCGUGUGUGGAUAGAUGGGCGGUGGGUGGAUAAAUGGGCGGUGGGUGGAUAGAUGAGCCGUGUUUGGACAUCCAACCAGUGUUGAGUUUACUGUGGUUCAACGUUCUCUUAUCCAAGCAAUGGUAAAUUAUCUCAUUCCAAGUCUGUCUUAUAAAAGCCCUUACACCAGCCACAUCGACGUUGUAUCCUGCGAGGCUUCGAGAGGUACGCGACUGCCUCAACCCAUAAACCGUAGACCACAGUGCAAGAGGGACUAUCCGAAAGAGAGAAAAUAUACAAACGGAAACACAUCUACAAGACUAUCAGGAGUAUGGGGAUCCGGGACGCUGACACUAUAGAGCAAAACCCUUCAUGUUCGUUGUUGCUUGCGCUGAUGGACCUAGUGCACAUUAAAGGUAGAAACGAUUUUGAGUCUAUUGCGAGUGUAGACAAGGCUGGUCUCAAACACGUUCUAGCCUAUCCAGUUGGUGCGCACCGAGGACAAAACCUCGUCUACUCAGAACAACAGUCACGCGCUUAUCUCCGAUGUAAAGGAUACACCCCAUGUGCUAGGCACGCCUUCGGCCGACAUUUUGAAUUAAAAGCGCAAGGCCAGCGUGGAUUGUUUCACCGGAAAUCAAGUGAUAUGUGAAAGGCUUUGAGAAAGGCUCCUGAGCUGUACGUGUCUACCGCGUUGAGGUUUUGCAAAUAAUAGUUGAUUAUGGUUUGUACAGGUUUUAUUGUUGUUUCAUUGUUAUAAUAUUGUAUUGUACGACAUUUUUUAUAUAUAUAUAUAUAUAUAGAAAACCCUUCGAAAAGAAGUCAAAGGACAAAAAAAAGAUAAGAUUGAAACUGAGAUGACGAAACUGUUAACUCUGAUGUGGGGUUAUUUUCAUAAAAUGUUAUUUCACAUUAACCUGAUGAGUAGACGAAACAUCUCACUGUGUGAUCACUUGUAUAUUCAUUGAGAGUUAAUUGAUGAAACAUUAAACCAGGGCUCAUAUUAUUAUCCCAAACAGUCUGUUUGUCUUUGAUUUUUCCACAUUUAAUUGUUAAGAGACCGAUGAACUACACUCUUGCUCUGGCUCCACUACUGUUCCCAUGGUCAGUGCAAU